rnacentral:lncRNA from 1 species
UCCAGAUCUGAAAAACCUGCAUAUUCAAAAACGUUCAAAUGACUUAAAAAUAGAGAAAAUGAGUGGAAGAUUAGAUAAAUCUACAUUUAUAGAACACACAAAAAUACAUAUCUAAAAUUAAUAGAUCUACCUCUAAAUUAGUGGAAGAUGAGUACCAUUUGAUUGAAAACCUGCAAAAGAGAUAGAUUAGUAAGAAAUACAUGAGACAAAACUGAAAAAUUCAUAUAAAGUUUGGUGUUUUCAAGUCAAAGAGAUUAGAGAGAGGUUGGAGAGUUUUAGAAUGAUGAACAUUACAUUUUUGUUGCAGCCAUUUGAGAGGAGGAGAG